rnacentral:rRNA from 1 species
UACAGAGGUCCCAAGCGUUGUUCGGAUUCACUGGGCGUAAAGGGUGCGUAGGUGGUCGGGUAAGUCCGAUGUGAAAUCUCCAGGCUCAACCUGGAAAUGGCAUUGGAUACUAUUCGGCUUGAGGAGUGGAGGGGGGACUGGAAUUCUCGGUGUAGCAGUGAAAUGCGUAGAUAUCGAGAGGAACACCAGUGGCGAAGGCGAGUCCCUGGACACUUCCUGACACUGAGGCACGAAAGCUAGGGGAGCAAACGGG